rnacentral:rRNA from 1 species
UACAGGCUUAACACAUGCAAGUCGAGGGGCAGCAUGGUCUUAGCUUGCUAAGGCCGAUGGCGACCGGCGCACGGGUGAGUAACACGUAUCCAACCUGCCGUCUACUCUUGGACAGCCUUCUGAAAGGAAGAUUAAUACAAGAUGGCAUCAUGAGUCCGCAUGUUCACAUGAUUAAAGGUAUUCCGGUAGACGAUGGGGAUGCGUUCCAUUAGAUAGUAGGCGGGGUAACGGCCCACCUAGUCUUCGAUGGAUAGGGGUUCUGAGAGGAAGGUCCCCCACAUUGGAACUGAGACACGGUCCAAACUCCUACGGGAGGCAGCAGUGAGGAAUAUUGGUCAAUGGGCGAGAGCCUGAACCAGCCAAGUAGCGUGAAGGAUGACUGCCCUAUGGGUUGUAAACUUCUUUUAUAAAGGAAUAAAGUCGGGUAUGGAUACCCGUUUGCAUGUACUUUAUGAAUAAGGAUCGGCUAACUCCGUGCCAGCAGCCGCGGUAAUACGGAGGAUCCGAGCGUUAUCCGGAUUUAUUGGGUUUAAAGGGAGCGUAGAUGGAUGUUUAAGUCAGUUGUGAAAGUUUGCGGCUCAACCGUAAAAUUGCAGUUGAUACUGGAUAUCUUGAGUGCAGUUGAGGCAGGCGGAAUUCGUGGUGUAGCGGUGAAAUGCUUAGAUAUCACGAAGAACUCCGAUUGCGAAGGCAGCCUGCUAAGCUGCAACUGACAUUGAGGCUCGAAAGUGUGGGUAUCAAACAGGAUUAGAUACCCUGGUAGUCCACACGGUAAACGAUGAAUACUCGCUGUUUGCGAUAUACAGCAAGCGGCCAAGCGAAAGCGUUAAGUAUUCCACCUGGGGAGUACGCCGGCAACGGUGAAACUCAAAGGAAUUGACGGGGGCCCGCACAAGCGGAGGAACAUGUGGUUUAAUUCGAUGAUACGCGAGGAACCUUACCCGGGCUUAAAUUGCAGAUGAAUUACGGUGAAAGCCGUAAGCCGCAAGGCAUCUGUGAAGGUGCUGCAUGGUUGUCGUCAGCUCGUGCCGUGAGGUGUCGGCUUAAGUGCCAUAACGAGCGCAACCCUUGUUGUCAGUUACUAACAGGUUCCGCUGAGGACUCUGACAAGACUGCCAUCGUAAGAUGUGAGGAAGGUGGGGAUGACGUCAAAUCAGCACGGCCCUUACGUCCGGGGCUACACACGUGUUACAAUGGGGGGUACAGAGGGCCGCUACCACGCGAGUGGAUGCCAAUCCCCAAAACCUCUCUCAGUUCGGACUGGAGUCUGCAACCCGACUCCACGAAGCUGGAUUCGCUAGUAAUCGCGCAUCAGCCACGGCGCGGUGAAUACGUUCCCGGGCCUUGUACACACCGCCCGUCAAGCCAUGGGAGCCGGGGGUACCUGAAGUGCGUAACCGCGAGGAGCGCCCUAGGGUAAAACUGGUGACUGGGGCUAAG